rnacentral:rRNA from 1 species
AUACAGAGGGUGCGAGCGUUAAUCGGAAUUACUGGGCGUAAAGCGCGCGUAGGCGGCUUAUUAGGUCAGAUGUGAAAUCCCCGGGCUCAACCUGGGAACUGCAUCUGAUACUGGUAAGCUAGAGUUUUGGAGAGGGAAGUAGAAUUUCAGGUGUAGCGGUGAAAUGCAUAGAGAUCUGAAGGAAUACCAGUGGCGAAGGCGACUUCCUGGCCAAAAACUGACGCUGAGGUGCGAAAGCGUGGGUAGCAAACGGGAUUAGAAACCCUUGUAGUCC